rnacentral:tRNA from 1 species
UUAGAUGGUAAAGCGCCUUUCUAGUAAGCAGGAGAUCACGAGUUCGAGUCUCGUUGGGACCU